GGAAUUUUGCCAUAAUAAAGAGCUUGGACGUCGAAUUGAUGAAAGCGUUUCCCUCAGUGUGGACCCUUUAUGAUGGAGGCGUUUGGAAGCUGUGGGAAAUGACAUCCCAGAAUUGAUUUCCAAGUAUAUUACAAAUCUAUUAUGAAAUUACUUUCGUGAAAGGAAAAUAUAAAGCCCCUCUGACAGCACGGGCCGUCUCCCCCCAGGACUCCUGCCAGCCCUUCACCCCAUCCCCUGAGGCACCUCUUCAGAGAGCUUGUCAAUUUCCAAAGAAACAAAAUCCUGCUGAGGUGUUGCAUCACAUCUAUAUAGCAAUUUGGGUAGAACUGACGUCCUCACUAAGAUUAUUGAAGAUUUUCUACAUUGAUGAUCGUGUUCUCUACAAAUACAGGCAUUUUUACUUCUUCUUUUCCAACCUGUAUGCCUUUUUAAAUCAGUAUUGGGCACGUUCCCUCCAACACAGGGAACAAAGCGAGGUCCCUGCUUUUGCCCCCUUCCAGCACGAUGCUGAAGAGCAGUGGUGAGCGCGGACCCUCGCGUUGCUUCCGGUGUUGGAGGGAACGUGCGCAUUGUUCCGCAUCACACGUGCUGUUUGCUGUAGAUUUCUCACAGAUGUCCUAUAUCAGAUUAGGAAGCGGUCACCUAUUCCAAAUUUCCUGAGCGUGUUUGUCAUCCGUGGGUUGUUGAGUUUUUACUGCUCAUCCACCCCUCCCCCUGCCGGAAGUGGCACCAGCAUCUGUUAGUUGAGCUGCACAUCACAGAAAACACAGGCAAAGCUGGAAUGCCUGUCUCUGAGGAAAAUAGAUGACUCACAGCUCAUCCUGGACCUUGAGGGUGUUUGCAUUCUCUGCGGUGCUCUGAACAGUAAGCAUCAGUGCAGCACAAAAGGGUC